rnacentral:rRNA from 1 species
AUUGAACGCUGGCGGAAUGCUUUACACAUGCAAGUCGAACGGUAGAGGGGGCAACCCCUUGAGAGUGGCGAACGGGUGAGUAAUAUAUCGGAACGUGCCCAGUCGUGGGGAUAACGUAGCGAAAGUUACGCUAAUACCGCAUACGAUCUACGGAUGAAAGCGGGGGACUCGCAAGAGCCUCGCGCGAUUGGAGCGGCCGAUAUCAGAUUAGGUAGUUGGUGGGGUAAAGGCUCACCAAGCCAACGAUCUGUAGCUGGUCUGAGAGGACGACCAGCCACACUGGAACUGAGACACGGUCCAGACUCCUACGGGAGGCAGCAGUGGGGAAUUUUGGACAAUGGACGCAAGUCUGAUCCAGCAAUGCCGCGUGCAGGAUGAAGGCCUU